AUUGAACGCUGGCGGCAGGCCUAACACAUGCAAGUCGAGCGAGCGGCGGACGGGUGAGUAAUGUAUGGGGACUGCCCGAUAGAGGGGGAUAACUACUGGAAACGGUGGCUAAUACCGCAUACUAUCGGAUAACCCAUAUGGGAUUAGCUAGUAGGUGGGGUAAAGGCUCACCUAGGCGACGAUCUCUAGCUGGUCUGAGAGGAUGAUCCGCCACAACGGGACUUGGAAACGGCCCAGACUCCUCGGGGGGCAGGAGGUGGGAAUAUUGCACAAUGGGCGGAAGCCUGAUGCAGCCAAGCCGCGUGGAAUAAGAAGGCCUUAGGGUUGUAAAGUACUUUCAGCGGGGAGGCGUUACCCGCAGAAGAAGCACCGGCUAACUCCGUGCCAGCAGCCGCGGUAAUUC
rnacentral:rRNA from 1 species